rnacentral:rRNA from 1 species
AUUGAACGCUGGCGGCAGGCCUAACACAUGCAAGUCGAGCGAGUGGCGGACGGGUGAGUAAUGUAUGGGGAACUGCCCGAUAGAGGGGGAUAACUACUGGAAACGGUGGCUAAUACCGCAUACUAUCGGAUGAACCCAAAGGGGAUUAGCUAGUAGGGGGGGUAAAGGCUCACCUAGGCGACGAUCUCUAGCUGGUCUGAGAGGAUGAUCGGCCACACUGGAACUGAGACACGGUCCAGACUCCUACGGGAGGCAGCAGUGGGGAAUAUUGCACAAUGGGCGCAAGCCUGAUGCAGCCAUGCCGCGUGUAUGAAGAAGGCCUUAGGGUUGUAAAGUACUUUCAGCGGGGAGGCGUUACCCGCAGAAGAAGCACCGGCUAACUACGUGCCAGCAGCCGCGGUAAUAC